AACGAACGCUGGCGGCAGGCUUAACACAUGCAAGUCGAGCGCCCCGCAAGGGGAGCGGCAGACGGGUGAGUAACGCGUGGGAAUCUACCCAUCUCUACGGAAUAACGCAUGGAAACGUGUGCUAAUACCGUAUACGUCCUUCGGGAGAAAGAUUUAUCGGAGAUGGAUGAGCCCGCGUUGGAUUAGCUAGUUGGUGGGGUAAAGGCCUACCAAGGCGACGAUCCAUAGCUGGUCUGAGAGGAUGAUCAGCCACACUGGGACUGAGACACGGCCCAGACUCCUACGGGAGGCAGCAGUGGGGAAUAUUGGACAAUGGGCGCAAGCCUGAUCCAGCCAUGCCGCGUGAGUGAUGAAGGCCCUAGGGUUGUAAAGCUCUUUCACCGGUGAAGAUAAUGACGGUAACCGGAGAAGAAGCCCCGGCUAACUUCGUGCCAGCCGCCGCAGUAAUAC
rnacentral:rRNA from 1 species